UCUUACUUACGCAAAAGCCACACCGGUGAUAUACAAAUUGCUUAUUAACCAUAUAGGCCUCCCAUUGCAAAUCAGAUUUCAACUAUAGUGGGAGAGACAGACACCCACCAGCCGCAUAUGCAAUACAAGUUGCAUGUAAUUGCGGAACCGGUCUCUUGUGCGAUGACAAGUAAGGUUGGUCCGAGCCGCUUCAUCCCACUAUCCCGCAAAAUCCGAAGUGCACAAAAUUUUUCCUACGAGAAGUGCGGAAGAA
rnacentral:lncRNA from 1 species